rnacentral:miRNA from 1 species
AAUGGAAAUACUCGCUGAUACU